GCUUACGGCCACACCGCCUUUGGUUCACGCCCGAUCUCGCUUUGAUCUCGGAAGCUAAGAUAGGUUGGGCCUGGUUAGUACUUGGAUGGGAGACCGCCUGGGAAUACCAGGUGCGUAAGCU
rnacentral:rRNA from 1 species